rnacentral:siRNA from 1 species
UGGCUCAUUAAAUCAGUUAUA